rnacentral:misc_RNA from 1 species
AAAGAGGUGUGGGGGACUAGCUAGCAUCUCCAAGUAACAUCAUAUGUCUUGCUAUGGAUUUAAGCAGCAACAUAUAUUUAGCAUACAGCUGAUUCUUCAUACAUACAAUAUGAGCUAAAAGUGCAAUUAGUUGAUAAUAUUUUUGUCCACAUAAAGGGUUACUAACUUCAAGCUUACAAAGAGUUCAUACUCAGAAAACACUGUAAGAUGAAGCUUCCAUGUGUUUUCACCAUGACUGGCUAAACAGAGCUACUACCUUCAGGGCACAACCUAUGAAAACCUACCUAAAAAUGAAAAGAAAUUGCCACUGUCUGGACACAGGCAUAGGACAUUAUGACCUUCACAGAAUCAUACAGUUAUCAGCAACUAAAGAAAUAAAACUGUAAAA